UACGGAGGGUGCGAGCGUUAAUCGGAAUUACUGGGCGUAAAGCGCACGUAGGCGGUUUGUUAAGCAAGAUGUGAAAGCCCCGGGCUCAACCUGGGAAUAGCAUUUUGAACUGGCAAGCUAGAGUUUUGAAGAGGGUGGUAGAAUUUCCUGUGUAGCGGUGAAAUGCGUAGAUAUAGGAAGGAAUACCAGUGGCGAAGGCGGCCACCUGGUCAAAAACUGACGCUGAGGAGCGAAAGCGUGGGGAGCAAACAGG
rnacentral:rRNA from 1 species